GGCUGUGGCUGGAUUCAAGUAAUCCAGGAUAGGCUGUUUCCAUCUAUGAGGCCUAUUCUUGAUUACUUGUUUCUGGAGGCAGC
rnacentral:pre_miRNA from 1 species